rnacentral:rRNA from 1 species
AUGAUGCUCAUAUCAGAGGAAGACAAGGAAAUGUUGCUCAAGGCUGAUAUCUUCCGUGGUGUAUUGGCAUCUCUUUAUCAUGUUCCGAUCAAUCCUUCACUACUUGCUGCCUUUCUUACAUUUUGGAACACUGACGGACAUACCUUGAUUACUUCUCAAGGGGAGAUGGGCUAUCCCCUUAUAGCUAUGUAUGAUGCUAUGGGCAUUCCAAUUUCUGGGCACCUUUAUGAGGAAUAUUUCCCAUUGCCGUCUGAAGUUUCAGAGAUUGUAAAAGUCCUUCACUCAGCCUAUGCUGAUAUCUGGGUGUUGCAUCAGAAUGGAAGCUCUUGUAAAGUCACUCUUCAAAAUUGGUUGGAUUAUUUUAUAGGAGAAGAUCUCGGAGUUGUUGGCAAAACUGAAGCAAGGGUGCCAAGUCAUUUCUAUGCUGAUCCUGAAGAUCCCUUGCUCUCUCAUCUAGAGUUUCGUACGUUGUCUUUGCAGAAAUGCUGGUCGGCUAGAUUUGGCAACCAUGUAAUUUUUUACAAGCAGACAUAUGAACGAGAAAUAUACCGUGCCGCCUUCAUCGUAGCUUGGCUAUGCACAUACUGUGUUCCUAUCAAUAUGGGGUCCUUUAUUCGGCCGGAGGUCUUCUGUGCUGCAGCUAGACUUGCUCAAGGGAUCCGUCUUGCGAUUGGUACGGCAAGCAUGGCCUAUCUUUACCAAAGUCUUGAUAAUGUUUGUCAAGAGAUUAUAGCCGGAUCAAAGUCAGCAAGUGAGUGCCAACUGCCAUUACCUGCACAUUUUAUUAUGGGCUGGUUCUCCUCUUAUUGGAAAAUGACACCUUCACAACCAGCGGUGAAUCCAAAAAUUACUCACUUCCCGCCGUUCGUGACGGACGCAUGGAGAAUCACAUCUACAACAAUUGAUCUGUUCAAAGCCCAUCAGUUGUUCCUUGACUCAGCUGCAGAUAGCAAAUCUCUGCUUUCCUUAUCUUUCUUGGGGAAAUCUCGCAUACGUUUCCCUCAGUCAGAGUCUGAAUUUUUGAUAAGUGAUGCACGAGAAGCCACAGAUGGUGGAC